UACGGAGGGUGCAAGCGUUAUCCGGAUUCACUGGGUUUAAAGGGUGCGUAGGCGGAUAGGUAAGUCCGUGGUGAAAUCUCUGAGCUUAACUCAGAAACUGCCGUGGAUACUAUCCGGCUCGAGGAAUGGAGGGGAGACUGGAAUACUUGGUGUAGCAGUGAAAUGCGUAGAUAUCAAGUGGAACACCAGUGGCGAAGGCGAGUCUCUGGACAUUUCCUGACGCUGAGGCACGAAAGCCAGGGGAGCAAACGGG
rnacentral:rRNA from 1 species